rnacentral:rRNA from 1 species
UACGUAGGGGGCGAGCGUUGCUCGGAUUUACUGGGCGUAAAGGGCGUGUAGGCGGCCUUGCAAGUCGAAAGUGAAAAGUUACGGCUCAACCGUAACAUCGCGUUCGAAACUGCGAGGCUAGAGUUUUGUGGAGGGUGAUGGAACUCCCGGUGUAGCGGUGAAAUGCGUAGAGAUCGGGAAGAACACCAAAGGCGAAGGCAGUCACCCAUGCAAGAACUGACGCUGAGGCGCGAAAGCGUGGGGAG